AGCGAACGCUGGCGGCGUGCUUAACACAUGCAAGUCGAGUGCGCGGUUCGUAGCAAUACGAACUGGCGCACGGCGCACGGGUGAGGAACACGUGGGCAACAUGCCCUCCGAUGGGGAAUAACCCGCCGAAAGCGGGCUAAUACCGCAUACGAUUCGGGGACCUGGUUCCUGGACUGAAAGCCCGCAAGGGCGUCGGUGGA
rnacentral:rRNA from 1 species